rnacentral:rRNA from 1 species
CUACGGAGGGUCCGAGCGUUAUCCGGAAUCAUUGGGUUUAAAGGGUCCGUAGGCGGGAAUCUAAGUCAGUGGUGAAAUCUUGCAGCUCAACUGUAAAAUUGCCAUUGAUACUGGAUUUCUUGAAUUAGUGUGAAGCGGUUAGAAUGUGUAGUGUAGCGGUGAAAUGCAUAGAUAUUACACAGAAUACCAAUUGCGAAGGCAGAUCACUAACACUAUAUUGACGCUAAGGGACGAAAGCGUGGGGAGCGAACAGGAUUAGAUACCCCAGUAGUCC